rnacentral:tRNA from 1 species
CAAGAUGUAGCUUAAUUAAAGCCCCUCGCUUACACCGAGACGUCACCUGUGAAACCGGGUCAUUUUGA